CCCUACUCCUACGGGAGGCAGCAGUAGGGAAUCUUCCGCAAUGGACGAAAGUCUGACGGAGCAACGCCGCGUGAGUGAUGAAGGCUUUCGGGUCGUAAAACUCUGUUGUUAGGGAAGAACAAGUGCUAGUUGAAUAAGCUGGCACCUUGACGGUACCUAACCAGAAAGCCACGGCUAACUACGUGCCAGCAGCCGCGGUAAUACGUAGGUGGCAAGCGUUAUCCGGAAUUAUUGGGCGUAAAGCGCGCGCAGGUGGUUUCUUAAGUCUGAUGUGAAAGCCCACGGCUCAACCGUGGAGGGUCAUUGGAAACUGGGAGACUUGAGUGCAGAAGAGGAAAGUGGAAUUCCAUGUGUAGCGGUGAAAUGCGUAGAGAUAUGGAGGAACACCAGUGGCGAAGGCGACUUUCUGGUCUGUAACUGACACUGAGGCGCGAAAGCGUGGGGAGCAAACAGGAUUAGA
rnacentral:rRNA from 1 species